GGUGGUGUCGUAUAAUGGUCAGUACAACACGUUGUGGACAUUACACGGUACCGUGUAAAUCUGGGUUCGAUUCCCAGCACCGCCA